rnacentral:tRNA from 1 species
GUAGUAGCCAAGCGGUAAGGCAUCUGAUUCUGAAUCAGAUAUGCAUUGGUUCGAAUCCAAUCU